CCCCUAGAUGUUCUGGGCUGCACGCGCGCUACACUGAUGCGUUCAACGAGUUUAUGACCUUGCCCGAUAGGGUUGGGUAAUCUUUUUAAAUCGCAUCGUGAUGGGGAUAGAUUAUUGCAAUUAUUAAUCUUCAACGAGGAAUGCCUAGUAAGCGCAAGUCAUCAGCUUGCGUUGAUUACGUCCCUGCCCUUUGUACACACCGCCCGUCGCUCCUACCGAUUGAAUGGUCCGGUGAAGCGUUCGGACCGUGGCCUUUGGACGGUUCGCCGUCUGUUGGCUGCGGGAAGUUCGUUAAACCUUAUCAUUUAGAGGAAGGAGAAGUCGUAACA
rnacentral:rRNA from 1 species